rnacentral:rRNA from 1 species
GAUGAACGCUGGCGGCGUGCCUAAUACAUGCAAGUCGAGCGAACAGAUGAGGAGCUUGCUCCUCUGACGUUAGCGGCGGACGGGUGAGUAACACGUGGAUAACCUACCUAUAAGACUGGGAUAACUUCAGGAAACCGGAGCUAAUACCGGAUAAUAUAUUGAACCGCAUGGUUCAAUAGUGAAAGACGGUUUUGCUGUCACUUAUAGAUGGAUCCGCGCCGCAUUAGCUAGUUGGUAAGGUAACGGCUUACCAAGGCAACGAUGCGUAGCCGACCUGAGAGGGUGAUCGGCCACACUGGAACUGAGACACGGUACAGACUCCUACGGGAGGCAGCAGUAGGGAAUCUUCCGCAAAGGGCGAAAGCCUGACGGAGCAACGCCGCGUGAGUGAUGAAGGUCUUCGGAUCGUAAAACUCUGUUAUUAGGGAAGAACAAAUGUGUAAGUAACUAUGCACGUCUUGACGGUACCUAAUCAGAAAGCCACGGCUAACUACGUG